UACAGAGGGUGCAAGCGUUACUCGGAAUUACUGGGCGUAAAGCGUGCGUAGACGGUUACGUAAGUUAGGUGUGAAAGCCCCGGGCUCAACCUGGGAAUUGCAUUUAAGACUGCGUAGCUAGGGUGCGGAAGAGGGAAGCGGAAUUUCCGGUGUAGCGGUGAAAUGCGUAGAUAUCGGAAGGAACAUCAGUGGCGAAAGCGGCUUCCUGGUCCAGCACCGACGUUCAGGCACGAAAGCGUGGGGAGCAAACAGG
rnacentral:rRNA from 1 species